rnacentral:rRNA from 1 species
AGAUUGAACGCUGGCGGCAGGCCUAACACAUGCAAGUCGAGCGGUAGAGAGGUGCUUGCACCUCUUGAGAGCGGCGGACGGGUGAGUAAUGCCUAGGAAUCUGCCUAGUGGUGGGGGAUAACGUUCGGAAACGGACGCUAAAUACCGCAUACGUCCUACGGGAGAAAGCGGGGGACCUUCGGGCCUCGCGCCAUUAGAUGAGCCUAGGUCGAUUAGCUAGUUGUGAGGUAAUGGCUCACCAAGGCGACGAUCCGUAACUGGUCUGAGAGGAUGAUCAGUCACACUGGAACUGAGACACGGUCCAGACUCCUACGGAGCAGCAGUGGGAAUAUUGGACAAUGGGACGAAAGCCUGGAUCCAGCCAAUGACCGCGUGUGUGAAGAGGU